rnacentral:rRNA from 1 species
GACGAACGCUGGUGGCGUGCCUAAUACAUGCAAGUCGAGCGGACCAAUAGAAGCUUGCUUCUGUUGGUUAGCGGCGGACGGGUGAGUAACACGUGGGCAACCUGCCUGUAAGACUGGGAUAACUUCGGGAAACCGGAGCUAAUACCGGAUAAUUCAUCCCCUCGCAUGAGGGGAUGCUGAAAGUCGGUUUACGCUGACACUUACAGAUGGGCCCGCGGCGCAUUAGCUAGUUGGUGAGGUAAUGGCUCACCAAGGCGACGAUGCGUAGCUGACCUGGGCGGGUGAUAGGCGACACGGGGACUGAGACACGGCCCAGACUCCUACGGGAGGCAGCAGUAGGGAGUCUUCCACAAUGGACGAAAGUCUGAUGGAGCAACGCCGCGUGAGCGAUGAAGGCCUUCGGGUCGUAAAGCUCUGUUGUUAGGGAAGAACAAGUAUCGGAGUAACUGCCGGUACCUUGACGGUACCUAACCAGAAAGCCACGGCUAACUACGUGCCAGCCGCCGCCGUAA